rnacentral:lncRNA from 1 species
CCGCCCCCUCACCGGGACAGGCUGUCUGUCAGCCCCCGCCCCCUCGCCCCCCCUUGGCACCUGCCUGGGAGGCUCCGGCCGGGCUCCGAGCGGCGGCGACUUGGCCUCCUCCUCCUCCUCUUCCUCCUGUUCGCUCGCCUCCCUUGCUGGCUCCGGCGGCGCUAGAGACGGGCACCGGGAGCCGGGGUGACGGGGGAGGGAGGGGGAACUUGGAAGAUGGGUGAGGGGGAGGGGGCGGCUUGGGGGAGGGGUAAGCGCGAGGCGGGCGUACUUGCCCGCUGGGUCCUAGAGCCCGCCUCUGACUAGAGCGAACAGCCCCCCAGCCCCCAUUUUCUCAGGAUCCAAAGAGGAUCCCCCACAUUCCCACUCAUCCGCGCCACUGAUCCCUGAGGAUGUAGGGAAGGGUCCGGGACAUGGCCUGGUCUCAAGAGUUCUAAAGCGGUGAGGGUCUUCUCUUUGGGUUCGAAGUGGGAGGGGCUGACUACCUGGUAGGGUUGAAAAGGGGUGGGGCGAGAAGGGAGCCUUCGCAAGGGGGCGGGGCCGGAGGGCGUUGGGAAGGAGAGUCGGUGAGGACGCGGAGGGCACGGACAAGCGCUUGCGUCAUGGAAGGGGCGGGCCCACGGUGGUUGGGCCUUCUAGGCAGGCCCGAGGAAGGAGAGGGUCUUGGGAAGAGAUGCAGUGGGGGUCCUAAAAGGGUGGAGUUUAAAAGAAAAUUGCCUUAUGGGCACGAGAGACCCCUAAAGGGAGGAGUGUGUAGCGGUGUCUGUAAUAGGCGGAGCUUCGAGGGAGGGACUAAGAAGAGGGGCGGAGCAUUUAUAAAGGGGAGGGGCUAAGGACAGCGUUCUAAAGGGGUGGGGCCUAGGGCAACACGGCCUAGGGGUGGGGAGGAAGACAGCGGAAUAUUUCAAAGCAAGAUCCAGGUUCGUCAGGGACCGGCCUCUUGCCGGCUCGCAGGAGGGCGGGGCCUCGAGCUUGGGGGCGGGGCCUACACCUCGGGGUCCGCCCUCGCUGUCUAGCCUCUUGCCGUCAUCCGCCUCACCCCCGUUCUUUUCGGUUAUUUUCUGCUACGACCGUUCCCCGCCCUGCCCUGGGCCCAGGGGGCCGCGGUCUGAACUUUGGUCGGCUGGAGAAGUCGGAGCCGGAAAAGUUUAGGAGUGAGGCCCGAAGAUCUGCCGCUGCCUGGGAAGAGGGCGAGACUCAAAUGAUCGACACAGAGAGAGGGAUCGGAGGGUUAUUGGUGAGGACUGAAGGGUUAACAAUACAAGAAUACCGCGGAGGCAAGGCCGACCGGGACGAGGAGAAUGAGGCCCGAUACACAAUCGGGGGCGGGACCAGAGAGCAGGGUCGGGGCCUGGGCCGCGAGAGAUGUUUGAACUUACUGGCUUUGUAGGCUACUGAGCACUAUCAUCCCC